rnacentral:misc_RNA from 1 species
GAUUUUCAUCGAGUUCAUGUUCUCUGCUUUUCAUACAUAUUCCAUAGUGAAACUCAGAUGUGCAUUAUUUUCUUUGGAUGGACCAUUCAUGAUUGAAAAAGAAAGGAGUAUCCCUAAGAGAGAAUGAUUGGGAAGGUCAAACAAAAAUACUUGAAUAAAGAUAGUAAAUAUUGUUUCUUAUGCUGCAAGUCAAACACUAUUCAUCUUUUCAUUAACUAUUCACAGCAUUCAGACAAUCAUAUGCAUUACUGAAUCAAAGAACAGUUUUUCUUUUUUCAACAUAGGAAUAGUCGAAUUCUGCUCCUUUCAGAGCUGUUCCAAAGAAGGAUGAUGUUUUCAACCCGAGAUAACCUCUGUUCCUCCCACUCUUCUGUUCUGCUAAUUGGUUUUUUGUGUGCCUAGCUAGUCUGUCCAUCUGGUUGAUCUGGAUGCCCUUUCCUCUUAUAUUUUUUCCCCAACUGGUGAUGUGAUACAAUUGAACUCUUAGUUUUAAAUGUUCUGCUUGAAAAAUAUUGCUCCGCACUCCAUUAAUGGAGCUUACUAUUUGAAAGAUGUAUUAUGAAUCUUAUUCUCUAAUUUCAUAUGUGUGCUUACAAUUUGGUUAUUGUAAAAUUGAUCUUGUCACACACCUCUAACAAUACUAUCUUCUAUCAUUAAGUAUCUUUAGAUAAAAUAUCAUAUAUAGUUGAUUGCUGAGAGCAUUUGAUCACCAAGAUCAGUUUGUGAUUUGAGUUACAUUUGAGUAUUUAAAAUUUGACUUUUGCUGAUGGUUCAGUAUCCUUUCUAGUUUUGUU